rnacentral:rRNA from 1 species
UGACCUCAAAUCASGUAGGAACACCCGCUGAACUUAAGCAUAUCAAUAAGCGGAGGAAAAGAAAAUAACAAUGAUUCCCCUAGUAGCUGCGAGUGAAGAGGGACAAGCUCAAAUUUUAAAUCUGUCGGGUUUUUCCUGACCGAGUUGUAAUUUGAAGAAGCGUUUUCUGCGCUGUUUGAUCAGCCCAAGUCCUAUUGAAUGAGGCAUCAUGGAGGGUGAUAAUCCCGUCCGGUUGAUCAUUGUGCUCUACGGUACGCUUUCUAGGAGUCAAGUUGUUUGGGAUUGCAGCUUAAAAUGGGAGGUAAAUUNUCUCCNUANANGGCUANANAUNANANCGGNCGAGAGNACNCGAUAGCGAACAAGCACCGUGAGGGAAAGAUGAAAANGAACNUUUGAAAAGAGAGUUAAACAGUACGUGAAAUCGUUGAAAGGGAAACGAUUGAAGCCAGUCGUACCUUCGGGUAAUCAGCCUUUCGGGUGCGAUUCUGUGGGGUGUGAAGAGUUAAACGCCUUCACGUUUUGCAUAUUCGUGCUCUUGGGUGUACUUGCCCGUGUGGUUGGUUAACAUCAAUUUUGGACGCCAUAAAAUGACUGGAGGAAUGUAGCUUCGAUCUCGUAUUGAAGUGUUAUAGCCUUCGGUAGAUGUGGUUUUCGAGAUUGAGGAUUGCAACGGAUACCCUUCGGGGCUACCUAUCUGAUCUCUGAUCGUUGCUCUGGUGCCGAAAGCUUGCUUACGGUUAUUAAAGUCGAUGGUCAAUAUGUUAGAGUGGGUUAAAUUCGUUAGGGAUGUUGACGUGAUGGCUUUAAACGACCCGUCUUGAAACACGGACCGAGGAGUCUAACAUGUG